UACGUAGGGGGCAAGCGUUGUCCGGAAUUAUUGGGCGUAAAGAGCUCGUAGGCAGUUUCGCAAGUCGGGUGUGAAAGCCCUGGGCUCAACCUAGGAAGUGCACUCGAAACUGCGAGACUUGAGUCCUGGAGAGGAAGGCGGAAUUCUCGGUGUAGAGGUGAAAUUCGUAGAUAUCGAGAGGAACACCGGUGGCGAAGGCG
rnacentral:rRNA from 1 species